UACGUAGGGGGCAAGCGUUGUCCGGAUUUAUUGGGCGUAAAGAGCGUGUAGGCGGCUUGGUAGGUCCGCUGUGAAAACUCGAGGCUCAACCUCGAGAUGUCGGCGGAAACCACUUGGCUAGAGUCCGGAAGAGGAGAGUGGAAUUCCCGGUGUAGCGGUGAAAUGCGCAGAUAUCGGGGAAGAACACCUAUGGCGAAGGCAGCUCUCUGGGACGGUACUGACGCUGAGACGCGAAAGCGUGGGGAGCGAACAGG
rnacentral:rRNA from 1 species